GGAGAUGUGGGUGAGCGGUUUAAACCAGCAGUCUUGAAAACUGCCGACGGGCAACCGUCCGUGAGUUCGAAUCUCACCGUCUCCG
rnacentral:tRNA from 1 species